GUGCAAGUUAGGCACCUACAAAAGUACCUGUAGAGGUACUUGCUUCCAGGUACUUGUAGAGGUACUUAUAGAGGCACCUAUAAAGACACGAAUUUCUCAAAUCCAAUAGAAAUCAAUAAGACCCAUUCAAGUAUUGCAUUACUCCAUAGCAAAAUUAGCAUCAAGACGAAAUUAGAGGGUUGUAUUAUCACCUGAAAUCAAGGAGAUACCGUCAGUGAAAGAUAGUGGC
rnacentral:misc_RNA from 1 species